AUACGUAGGUGGCAAGCGUUAUCCGGAUUUACUGGGUGUAAAGGGCGCGCAGGCGGUCUUGCAAGUCAGAUGUGAAAGAUCAAGGCUUAACUUUGACAGGUCAUCUGAAACUGCGGGACUUGAGUAUCAGAGGGGAAAGUGGAAUUCCUGGUGGAGCGGUAAAAUGCGCAGAGAUCAGGAGGAACACCGGUGGCGAAGGCGACUUUCUGGCUGACAACUGACGCUGAGGCGCGAAAGCGUGGGGAGCAAACAGGAUUAGAUACCCUGGUAGUCCACGCCGUAAACGAUGAUUACUGGGUGUAGGGGGUAUCGACUCCCUCUGUGCCGAAGCAAACGCGAUAAGUAAUCCACCUGGGGAGUACGGCCGCAAGGCUAAA
rnacentral:rRNA from 1 species